CAGUAGCCACGGGAAUACAGAGGGUGCAAGCGUUAAUCGGAUUUACUGGGCGUAAAGGGCGCGUAGGUGGUUAUGUAAGUGAGAUGUGAAAUCCCCGGGCUCAACCUGGGAACUGCAUCUUAUACUGCGUAGCUGGAGUGCAGUAGAGGGUAGUGGAAUUUCCGGUGUAGCGGUGAAAUGCGUAGAUAUCGGAAGGAACACCAGUGGCGAAGGCGGCUACCUGGACUGACACUGACACUGAGGCGCGAAAGCGUGGGGAGCAAACAGGAUUAGAUACCCCCGUAGUCCCUGUCUCUUAUAC
rnacentral:rRNA from 1 species